UACGAAGGGGGCAAGCGUUGUUCGGAGUUACUGGGCGUAAAGGGCGCGUAGGCGGUUUUUCAAGUCAGAUGUGAAAGCCCUGGGCUUAACCUGGGAAUGGCAUUUGGGACUGAAAGACUUGAGAUCGGGAGAGGUGAGUGGAAUUCCCAGUGUAGAGGUGAAAUUCGUAGAUAUUGGGAAGAACACCGGUGGCGAAGGCGGCUCACUGGACCGAAACUGACGCUGAGGCGCGAAAGCGUGGGGAGCAAACAGG
rnacentral:rRNA from 1 species